rnacentral:rRNA from 1 species
AUUGAACGCUGGCGGCAUGCUUUACACAUGCAAGUCGAACGGCAGCGCGGGGGCAACCCUGGCGGCGAGUGGCGAACGGGUGAGUAAUGCAUCGGAACGUAUCCUGUAAUGGGGGAUAACGUAGCGAAAGUUACGCUAAUACCGCAUACGCUCGAGAGAGGAAAGUGGGGGAUCGCAAGACCUCACGUUAUAGGAGCGGCCGAUGUCCGAUUAGCUAGUUGGUGGGGUAAAGGCCUACCAAGGCGACGAUCGGUAGCUGGUCUGAGAGGAUGAUCAGCCACACUGGGACUGAGACACGGCCCAGACUCCUACGGAGGCAGCAGUGGGGAAUUUUGGACAAUGGGCGAAAGCCUGAUCCAGCCAUGCCGCGUGCGGGAAGAAGGCCU